UUUCAAUUUCUCUGAGAGGGGAGGCUGUAGUUCUGAGGCCUGUAAUCUUUCAUCUAGUCUGCAAAGCCUGAGCACAGACUUCUCUCAGACUCUCUCCUCACUUCAAUUUACUCCCUGCACUGUGAUCUUCUCUGAGCGCAGCCGCAGCGUAUCCAGCCCUUCAUGCUCUUGCCUCAAGCUGUGUGAGUGUUGUCAAAGCUCCUUCUGGGGUCGUUGGCUCGUAUUUUGACUUCUGCAUUCUGUCACGUUCUUUAGGGAUUUGUGGUACCGAUUUUUCAUCCUCUUGAGCUGUGUCCUCUCCCUCAUUUUAUGGGUGUGUCAUUUCAUCAGAAAACAUCACAGAGCAUCAGUUUGGUUUCUGCAUAGACACUUAUGUACAACGUUUAAUUGUUUCGCUUUACAAUUAAAAUUAAAUUUAUUUUUACUGUU